AUUUGGCCUUCACUUAAUUGCUUUAAGGGCUGCCAUAUGAUUACUACAUGGGGGAGUGGAAUGGGGAUUGAUAGCAUUUCUGAUUCCUCUGGAUUUUGUUUUUCCUCUUCCUGAAGUUAUCCAAGUAUUUCUGCAUAUGCCCUUGUUUAAUGAUCAGGAUGUUUCCCUUUCCUCCUGGAGGGUUGUUAUGUGGGGUAUUAUAAUCAAGUUAUAUGUGAUGACCCAAAAGGACAACUUUAUUUAUUUAUUUAUUUGGGGUUUAUUUGGGUUUCAGUUGGUUGUUUAGUAUGUUACACAGAGUGCUGCUAUAAGCUAGCCAUAACGUGUUCCUAUGGAGAGAUUUGACUUGUCCAGCCUAUGACUAAUUCAAACAGACUGCAAUUGCAUAAUGAGAGACUUUCUUGAAAGCUUUAUCGCUCUGUACAUACACAUGCACAGAUAUUACAAAGAAAAAGGCUUUUGGAAGUGAACUUUGUUGCUACCUUGCACUUCCAAAGUUGUGUUUCAAACACUGUUCAUGUUCACUUAGUGGAUGUUAUAAUUUGUGAGAACAACCAAUAGUGAACCAUAUUUUGCACAUCCUGGUAAGCCUUUUGAAAUCGUUCAAAGAUUCAUUCUUGUACUCCUGGUGCAUGCUUUCUCGUUUACAUCUUUUUAGUGGACUUUAGCUUUGAAACUAUGGCUUCAAGAGUCCAGGUAACCAUUCUGCUAGGCCAAGUUAGAAUAAAGGAAUCAUGGUCAUAAAAUGAAGCCUGUUGACCUGAUCUUGAAUUGUGGCCUGGUGUGAAAUUUGGCUGCUGUUCAAAUGUGAG
rnacentral:misc_RNA from 1 species